UGAGGAGGUUGUCAUGGACAACGAUCACGGUUCUCGACGGGACGUUGACGGAAUAUUCCUUAACGCCGUCGAGAGACUUGAGAAUAUUCUCGAUCAGAGGAACUUCCGAUGAACAACAGAUUCCCAAAACAUCGAAAUCUUUGCAGUAGCGAGAGAAAAAAAUCUAUCACAGCAGCAUCAAAGUAUGUGAAUUUUUGAAUUAGUGGAUUUAUGUGCUUACUUCAUUAUGUAAAUUUCAGAGGAAAUGUAUCCCAAUUGUUUAUGUAUGAUGAUCUCAGUAAACUGGUCUAAAUUUCUCAGAUCUAAA